rnacentral:rRNA from 1 species
UACGUAGGGUGCAAGCGUUGUCCGGAAUUAUUGGGCGUAAAGAGCUCGUAGGCGGUUUGUUGCGUCGGCCGUGAAAACCUGCAGCUUAACUGUGGGCCUGCGGCCGAUACGGGCAGACUUGAGUUCGGUAGGGGAGACUGGAAUUCCUGGUGUAGCGGUGAAAUGCGCAGAUAUCAGGAGGAACACCGAUGGCGAAGGCAGCUCGCUGGGACGGUACUGACGCUGAGGCGCGAAAGCGUGGGGAGCAAACAGG